GAAGCUGCCAUGCCUGGUGCUGCUGUGUGCAAGUGUGCGUGGACUGGAAGCUAAUGCAGGCUUUCUCUUCUUGGAAAGAAGCCUUCAUCUAAGGCACUGGGAAGGUGGCUCCCAGGAAACUGUAGCCACAUGUGCUCAAGUAAGGGAUGUGAAAGCCAUGUGAGUACAAGCACCAGCUGGGGUUUUCUGCAGUGAGCAAGGGCAGUUACAUGUACAGACAGAGGUUUUGAAGAAUGUAAUGCCUGUUGCAACAAGGCCUUUUGUAUUUAGCUGCUCUGCAGAGACCUGAACGGACACAUUAAGAGUCAUCCAUCUCUUGUUGCAGUAGGUUGCCUUUCUGAUAGCCAUAAAAUAAUACUUAAGGCCAGACAAAAAUCGUUCAGUACAAACGGUGUAGGUGUUAAUGUUUGUUUCAAGGCAGGUAUUCCUGUAGGUGGUGAUAAACACAAUUCCCAUUCAAAGGAAAUGAGGUUUUAUUAAAAAGCAGGAAAGUCCAUGUUGUUCCCUCUAGUUGCUUACCGAUUUACUCUUACUAAUGCAAAAGAAAUUAAAACACUGAAACAUCACCAGAAAAAAAAAAAUAGGAAGAUGAAAUAAUAUCCAGAGAGAAAAUUUUUGGUAAUAUAAACUGAGUGAUGUUACAAACUCAAAACCAGCAACUUGUUACUGUAGCAGAUAUAUUGCAUUACAUCAAGUGAUGCUAGCUAUGAACUAACAUUCUGAAUUUAAGAUGUGCUAUCUUCAUUGCAUAGCUCCUCCCUGUAAAGACAAAGGUAGAAAUUCCUGAUUAUUUUUUUCUGUUGCUUCUUUAAAAUUCGGUCCAUAUUCUACAAAAUAAAGUGAAAUAGUUGAUGUUCAGAACUAGCUGUAUUAAAAAGCUGCAAGCUGAUACUUGGAAAAAGGCAUGGGAUGCUAGCUCUACAAAACUCCCAUGUAUCGCAUUUAUUGAACUUCUAAUGGAGCUGUUCAGUUGACUGUAUUUCCCAUACACGUAGCUUAGCACAGGGGACAGUUUAUCACAAGUUCCUUGGUAGAGGAACAGAGAACUUGGUAAGAGAGAAUUUACUCAACUAAAAUUUGACAUGUAACUGCUGGAUGAUGUGUUCAGUCUCCCCGUAGGGUAUCUGCAUAUAGACAUAUUAACUAUUACACACUUUUUAUACAUAGAUUGCUUUAUCCAUAAGGAGUAUUGAAAAAUGGCUACUUGGCAGUCAUGCUACACUAGAAUCACAGCCUGAACUUUCAGGCUGAUAUUAGAAUAUUUCUACACUAUAACUACCCUCUGCAAGGUUA